rnacentral:rRNA from 1 species
UACAGAGGUCUCAAGCGUUGUUCGGAUUCAUUGGGCGUAAAGGGUGUGUAGGUGGCGCCGUAAGUCGGGUGUGAAAUUUCGGGAGCUUAACUCCGAAACUGCGUCCGAUACUGGAAGGCUUGAAUCCGGGAGAGGGAUGUGGAAUUCCAGGUGUAGCGGUGAAAUGCGUAGAUAUCUGGAGGAACACCGGUGGCGAAGGCGACAUCCUGGACCGGUAUUGACGCUGAGGCGCGAAAGCCAGGGAGCAAAGCGGG